rnacentral:rRNA from 1 species
GACGAACGCUGGCGGCGUGCUUAACACAUGCCAGUCGAACGGAAAGGCCCUGCUGUUGUGGUGUUCUCGGUGGGCGAACGGGUGAGUAACACGUGAGUAACCUGCCCUUCACUUUGGGAUAACUUCAGGAAACUGGGGCUAAUACCGGAUAGGAGCUCCUCCUGCAUGGGAGGGGUUGGAAAGUUUCGGCUGUUGGGGAUGGACUCGCGGCUUAUCAGCUUGUUGGUGGGGUAGUGGCUUACCAAGGCUUUGACGGGUAGCCGGCAUGAGAGGGUGACCGGACACAUUGGGACUGAGAUACGGCGCAGACUCCUACGGGAGGCAGCAGGGGGGAAUAUUGCACAAUGGGCGGAAGCCUGAUGAAGCAACGCCGCGUGCGGGAUGACGGCCUUCGGGUUGUAAAACGCUUUCGCCUGUGACGAAGCGUGAGUGACGGUAAUGGGUAAAGAAGCACCGGCUAACUACGUG